CCCUUAGAUGUUCUGGGCCGCACGCGUGCUACACUGAGUGGAUCAGCGGGUCAGGUUGCGCGAAAGUGUUUCCUAAUCUUGAAAUCCGCUCGUGAUGGGGAUUGACGGUUGCAAUUUUCCGUCAUGAACGAGGAAUACCUUGUAAGCGCGGGUCAUCAUCCCGCGCCGAAUACGUCCCUGCCCUUUGUACACACCGCCCGUCGCUCCUACCGAUUGAGUGGUCCGGUGAGGCUUUGGGAUCUGAGCAAAGAGAGCGUUUCGCUCGUUUUGCCCGGAAAACUCAGUCGAACCUUAUCAUUUAGAGGAAGGAGAAGUCGUAACA
rnacentral:rRNA from 1 species